rnacentral:rRNA from 1 species
AUUGAACGCUGGCGGCAGGCCUAACACAUGCGAGUCGAGCGGAUGAAGGGAGCUUGCUCCUGGAUUCAGCGGCGGACGGGUGAGUAAUGCCUAGGAAUCUGCCCGGUAGUGGGGGAUAACGUCCGGAAACGGGCGCUAAUACCGCAUACGUCCUGAGGGAGAAAGUGGGGGAUCUUCGGACCUCACGCUAUCAGAUGAGCCUAGGUCGGAUUAGCUAGUUGGUGGGGUAAAGGCCUACCAAGGCGACGAUCCGUAACUGGUCUGAGAGGAUGAUCAGUCACACUGGAACUGAGACACGGUCCAGACUCCUACGGGAGGCAGCAGUGGGGAAUAUUGGACAAUGGGCGAAAGCCUGAUCCAGCCAUGCCGCGUGUGUGAAGAAGGUCUUCGGAUUGUAAAGCACUUUAAGUUGGGAGGAAGGGCAGUAAGUUAAUACCUUGCUGUUUUGACGUUACCAACAGAAUAAGCACCGGCUAACUUCGUG